AGAGUUUGAUCAUGGCUCAGAUUGAACGCUGGCGGCAGGCCUAACACAUGCAAGUCGAACGGUAACAGGAAGCAGCUUGCUGCUUUGCUGACGAGUGGCGGACGGGUGAGUAAUGUCUGGGAAACUGCCUGAUGGAGGGGGAUAACUACUGGAAACGGUGGCUAAUACCGCAUAACGUCGCAAGACCAAAGAGGGGGACCUUCGGGCCUCUUGCCAUCAGAUGUGCCCAGAUGGGAUUAGCUUGUUGGUGAGGUAACGGCUCACCAAGGCGACGAUCCCUAGCUGGUCUGAGAGGAUGACCAGCCACACUGGAACUGAGACACGGUCCAGACUCCUACGGGAGGCAGCAGUGGGGAAUAUUGCACAAUGGGCGCAAGCCUGAUGCAGCCAUGCCGCGUGUAUGAAGAAGGCCUUCGGGUUGUAAAGUACUUUCAGCGGGGAGGAAGGUGUUGUGGUUAAUAACCGCAGCAAUUGACGUUACCCGCAGAAGAAGCACCGGCUAACUCCGUGCCAGCAGCCGCGGUAAUACGGAGGGUGCAAGCGUUAAUCGGAAUUACUGGGCGUAAAGCGCACGCAGGCGGUCUGUCAAGUCGGAUGUGAAAUCCCCGGGCUCAACCUGGGAACUGCAUUCGAAACUGGCAGGCUUGAGUCUUGUAGAGGGGGGUGGAAUUCCAGGUGUAGCGGUGAAAUGCGUAGAGAUCUGGAGGAAUACCGGUGGCGAAGGCGGCCCCCUGGACAAAGACUGACGCUCAGGUGCGAAAGCGUGGGGAGCAAACAGGAUUAGAUACCCUGGUAGUCCACGCCGUAAACGAUGUCUACUUGGAGGUUGUGCCCUUGAGGCGUGGCUUCCGGAGCUAACGCGUUAAGUAGACCGCCUGGGGAGUACGGCCGCAAGGUUAAAACUCAAAUGAAUUGACGGGGGCCCGCACAAGCGGUGGAGCAUGUGGUUUAAUUCGAUGCAACGCGAAGAACCUUACCUGGUCUUGACAUCCACGGAAGUUUUCAGAGAUGAGAAUGUGCCUUCGGGAACCGUGAGACAGGUGCUGCAUGGCUGUCGUCAGCUCGUGUUGUGAAAUGUUGGGUUAAGUCCCGCAACGAGCGCAACCCUUAUCCUUUGUUGCCAGCGGUCCGGCCGGGAACUCAAAGGAGACUGCCAGUGAUAAACUGGAGGAAGGUGGGGAUGACGUCAAGUCAUCAUGGCCCUUACGACCAGGGCUACACACGUGCUACAAUGGCGCAUACAAAGAGAAGCGACCUCGCGAGAGCAAGCGGACCUCAUAAAGUGCGUCGUAGUCCGGAUUGGAGUCUGCAACUCGACUCCAUGAAGUCGGAAUCGCUAGUAAUCGUGGAUCAGAAUGCCACGGUGAAUACGUUCCCGGGCCUUGUACACACCGCCCGUCACACCAUGGGAGUGGGUUGCAAAAGAAGUAGGUAGCUUAACCUUCGGGAGGGCGCUUACCACUUUGUGAUUCAUGACUGGGGUGAAGUCGUAACAAGGUAACCGUAGGGGAACCUGCGGUUGGAUCACCU
rnacentral:rRNA from 1 species